GAACGCACAUUGCGCCCGCCAGUAUUCUGGCGGGCAUGCCUGUUCGAGCGUCAUUUCAACCCUCAAGCCCCCGGGCUUGGUGUUGGGGAUCGGCGUGCCCUCGCGGCGCGCCGUCCCCGAAAUCUAGUGGCGGUCUCGCUGUAGCUUCCUCUGCGUAGUAGCACACCUCGCACUGGAGAGCAGCGCGGCCACGCCGUUAAACCCCCCACUUCUGAAAGGUUGACCUCGGAUCAGGUAGGAAUACCCGCUGAACUUAAG
rnacentral:misc_RNA from 1 species